rfam:Oryza rufipogon genomic scaffold, chr10
UGUAAGUGUAGUCAUGGAUUGUCGUGUCCAACGGUUGACCGUCCAUCUUAUUUUUUAUGAUUAGUUUUUUAUUGUUAUUAGAUGAUAAAACAUGAACAAUACGUGACUUAUGUUUUUAAUUUAUUUUUUAUAAACUUUUCAAAUAAGGCGGACAGUUAAACGUUGGACAUGGAAACCCACAAGUGCAUUUAAA